UUACGUAGAGUGCGACGACGGUGUCCGGAACUUAAGGUUGGGCGGUAAAGGGUACGCAGGCGGAUAGUAAAGUCAAGCGUGAAAGGUGUCGGCUUAACCGACAGACUGCGUUUGAAACUGAUUAUCUUGAGUGGUAACAGAGGAGAGUGGAAUUCCUAGUGUAGUGGUGAAAUACGGUAGAGUAUUAGGAAGAACACCAGUGGCGAAGGCGACUCUCUGGGUUAACACUGACGCUGAGGUACGAAAGCUGGGGGAGCAAACGGGAUUAGAUACCCCCGUAGU
rnacentral:rRNA from 1 species